GACGAACGCUGGCGGCGUGCUUAACACAUGCAAGUCGAACGAAGUGGCGAACGGGUGAGUAACGCGUAAGCAACCUGCCCUUCAGAGGGGGAAAACAGUUGGAAACGACUGCUAAUACCGCAUACUGAAGGAGGGGACUGCGUUUGAUUAGCUAGUUGGAGGGGUAACGGCCCACCAAGGCGAGGAUCAGUAGCCGGUCUGAGAGGGUGGACGGCCAAAUUGGGACCUGGACCAGGCCCAAACUGCUACGGGAGGCAGCAGUGGGGAAGUUUUCGGAAUGGAAGAAAGUCUGACGGGGCAACGCCGCGUGAGUGAUGACGGCCUUCGGGUUGUAAAGCUCCGUUAAUCGGGACGCGGUACCGGAAUAGAAAGCCACGGCUAACUACGUGCCAGCCGCCGCGGUAAUAC
rnacentral:rRNA from 1 species